GAGUUUGAUCGUGGCUCAGAUUGAACGCUGGCGGCAUGCCUUACACAUGCAAGUCGAACGGCAGCAUGAUCUAGCUUGCUAGAUUGAUGGCGAGUGGCGAACGGGUGAGUAAUACAUCGGAACGUGCCCUGUAGUGGGGAUAACUAGUCGAAAGAUUAGCUAAUACCGCAUACGACCUGAGGGUGAAAGUGGGGGACCGCAAGGCCUCAUGCUAUAGGAGCGGCCGAUGUCUGAUUAGCUAGUUGGUGGGUAAAGGCCCACCAAGGCGACGAUCAGUAGCUGGUCUGAGAGGACGAUCAGCCACACUGGGACUGAGACACGGCCCAGACUCCUACGGGAGGCAGCAGUGGGGAAUUUUGGACAAUGGGCGAAAGCCUGAUCCAGCAAUGCCGCGUGU
rnacentral:rRNA from 1 species